rnacentral:misc_RNA from 1 species
CAACCCUUAAGCCCCAGCUGCUUAGCGUUGGGAGCCUACCGGAGACCUCCUCCCGUAGCUCCCCAAAGUCAGUGGCGGAGCCGGUUUAACACUCCAGACGUAGUAGCUCAUACACAUCGCCUGUAGCCUAAACCCGGCCCCCUGCCGUAAAACACAACGAAUAUUGUAUA